CUCAAUUGCCCAACCUCAAUUGCCAUACAUGUAUCGUAUUGUGACGUGGGUGAUGGUCCUAUGUUAGGCUCACACAAGACUUUUCGUCCUGAUCGCCUCUAUAUCACCUUCUUUUGUUUGGGUGUUUUCAGCUAAUUUUGGGCUCUUGCCAAAUUAGUCCAGCUCUCGCCAAACUGAAUUCGGGUCGCCCCUAGAACACCUUCUUUUAUGUCACAAUAUAUCAACAUGCAAUAACAAUUGAAAUUAUUUUCAUCAAUAUCAAAUAUU